rnacentral:rRNA from 1 species
CGGACGGGUGAGUAAUACAUAAGCAAUCUGCCCUUUAGUUGGGGAUAACCUUUGGAAACAGGGGCUAAUACCGAAUAGUCUCAUUUAAACGCAUGUUUUUAUGAGUAAAGGCUUCGGCCGCUAUUGGAGGAGCUUAUGCCUGAUUAGUUAGUUGGUAAGGUAACGGCUUACCAAGACUAUGAUCAGUAGCUGGUCUGAGAAGAUGGUCAGCCACACUGGGACUGAGACACGGCCCAGACUCC